ACCUACUGUCUUGUAAUGAGGCAAUAGGAAGUGGACUUGGGAGUUGCGGUGGUACGACCGCUCUCUUGAAAUGCAUUAGCGGACUCGAAUGCUGUUCCGUGACGGUGUAAUAAACAUUUCACCGCUUGCUUACGCAAAGGACAGCACGUGCAGUCGGCUUCGAAUCGUCGCGUGACAAACUUGACAACUUGACCUCAAAUCGGGUAGGACUACCCGCUGAACUUAAGCAUAUCAAUAAGCGGAGGAAAAGAAACUAACAAGGAUUCCUCUAGUAACGGCGAGUGAAGAGGGAAAAGCUCAAAUUUUGAAUCUGGCACUUUCAGUGUCCGAGUUGUAAUCUAGAGAAGUGUUUUCUGUGGUACACCGUGUAUAAGUCUCCUGGAAUGGGGCGUCAUAGAGGGUGAGAAUCCCGUUUAUGACACGGCAUGUGCUGCUAUAUGAUACACUCUCCACGAGUCGAGUUGUUUGGGAAUGCAGCUCAAAAUGGGUGGUAAAUUCCAUCUAAAGCUAAAUAUUGGCGAGAGACCGAUAGCGAACAAGUACCGUGAGGGAAAGAUGAAAAGCACUUUGGAAAGAGAGUGAAACAGUACGUGRAAUUGUUGAAAGGGAAACGCUUGAAGUCAGGCGUGCUUGUUGGGAUUCAGCCUUGCUUCUGCUUGGUGUACUUCCUAAUGAGCGGGUCAGCAUCAGUUUUGGCCAAGAGAGAAAGGUGGUGGGAAUGUGGCACCGUUCGCGGUGUGUUAUAGCCCAGCAUUGUAUGUCUUGGCUGGGACUGAGGACUGCAGCGCGCCCUUGUGGCCGGGGAUCGCUUCCCACGUUUGCGCUUAGGAUGCUGGCAUAAUGGCUUUAAGCGACC
rnacentral:rRNA from 1 species